CUACAUUCUGUACGAUUAUAUUGAUGCUGCUACGGCUGCUGUGAAGGAAAUGCGUAUGCACCGAUUCACGAGCAGCUACCGAAGGCCGCCAUCAAGCACUGUCGACGUUUACCCUGUCACCACCAUAGCGGCUCCGGUAAUGUAGUUGUUCCCUCGUCGAAUCGGGUUGCGAAAUGCUGGAACUGAUACUAACCGUCAAGUCGGAAAGCCCCAGGAAAACGAGGACGGAAUCUCGGGCCACUGGAAGGGAAGACCAGUCACCCCCGCCAGCCAACGAUAGGUCCCUCCAUCAGGACAAUCCAACAAACUGAUUUUUCAUGCAUCCACCGAAGGCCGCAUAAACUGCCGUCAUCCGGUACUGGCUCGACUUUUCCCCUGUCACUAUUCCUAGCGGUUCCGUCGUCGGCUAGGUUGCGGAAUGUUUUUUCUGCGGCAGGUCAAUGAAAAAGACAAACCUCCGCAACCAAAAAAAAAAACAGCAGGAGACAUAAUCUCGUGUGACGGAACGAUUGCCGUAAGCUUGAGAACCGGGUGGAAACGGAUCUACUCGAGGAACUCGACUUUAAGGGCCGGAUGGAACUGUACUCCCAGUCUGGUAAAUCCGUGAAGUUAUCAAGCGCUAGAACACUUGGACACUGCGGAAGGUGGCCUCGUCGUAGGAGUCUGGCGAGCAACGAAAGGAGUCAAGCAGAAUAUAUUGAGCACGAUUAUGCUGGUACCACCAACGUAUUCAUCAUUGGUUAUACGCAACCACCGGACGACAGUAGCAAUGGACAUUAGUGCACACAAUUAUCACAUGGAUUACAACCGCUACGUAGACUGACCGAUACACCACCAGCACAACUAUCGCAAUAAUGUUAACGGCGGUUAUGAAAUGAUGAACAGCAAGGAUAUGGCACUGGACUUCGGUACUGUUCAAGACACACAAUGAGCAUAUAAAUGCAAUAAUUAUUUUUAAAUAAAUA